rnacentral:rRNA from 1 species
GACCCCGCACAAGCGGUGGAGCAUGUGGUUUAAUUCGAUGAUACGCGAGGAACCUUACCAGGGCUUAAAUGUAGUAUGACCGGUCUAGAAAUAGGCCUUCCCUUCGGGCAGAUUACAAGGUGCUGCAUGGUUGUCGUCAGCUCGUGCCGUGAGUGUUAGGUUAAGUCCUGCAACGAGCGCAACCCCUAUUCUUAGUUGCCAGCGGUUCGGCCGGGGACUCUAAGGACACCCUAUCUCUAGAGCUUUUUCCCUACAUGUCAAACCCAGGUAAGGUUCUUCGCGUUGCAUCGAAUUAAGCAACACGCUCCGCUGCUUGUGCGGGCCCCGUCAAUUCCUUUGAGUAGAGACGG